rnacentral:rRNA from 1 species
GAUGAACGCUGGCGGCGUGCCUAAUACAUGCAAGUCGAGCGAACAGAUGAGGAGCUUGCUCCUCUGACGUUAGCGGCGGACGGGUGAGUAACACGUGGAUAACCUACCUAUAAGACUGGGAUAACUUCGGGAAACCGGAGCUAAUACCGGAUAAUAUAUUGAACCGCAUGGUUCAAUAGUGAAAGACGGUUUUGCUGUCACUUAUAGAUGGAUCCGCGCCGCAUUAGCUAGUUGGUAAGGUAACGGCUUACCAAGGCAACGAUGCGUAGCCGACCUGAGAGGGUGAUCGGCCACACUGGAACUGAGACACGGUCCAGACUCCUACGGGAGGCAGCAGUAGGGAAUCUUCCGCAAUGGGCGAAAGCCUGACGGAGCAACGCCGCGUGAGUGAUGAAGGUCUACGGAUCGUAAAACUCUGUUAUUAGGGAAGAACAAAUGUGUAAGUAACUAUGCACGUCUUGACGGUACCUAAGCAGAAAGCCACGGCUAACUACGU